rnacentral:rRNA from 1 species
AUUGAACGCUGGCGGCAUGCUUUACACAUGCAAGUCGAACGAGUGGCGGACGGGUGAGUAAUGCAUUGGAACCUGCCGUAUGAUGGGGGAUAACUGUCGGAAACGGCAGCUAAUACCGCAUAUCAUCCGAUGAGCCGAUGUGGGAUUAGGUGGUUGGCGGGGUAAAGGCCAACCAAGGCGACGAUCGGUAGCGGGUCUGAGAGGAUGACCGGCCACACUGGGACUGAGACACGGCCCAGACUCCUACGGGAGGCAGCAGUGGGGAAUUUUGGACAAUGGGCGCAAGCCUGAUCCAGCCAUGCCGCGUGAAUGAAGAAGGCCUUCGGGUUGUAAAGGACUUUUGUCAGGGAAGCGUUAACUGAAGAAUAAGCACCGGCUAACUACGUGCCAGCAGCCGCGGUAAUUC